AUGAAAAUGGUUUUAAAGUGUACUCGUUGAUCGUCCUUUCUACGUUCCUGUAUCGCAUUAACGAAACAGUAUCGUAUCUCGAGCAUUUCCAGAACUUUCUGCAAACUCUAAUAACUGAAACGGAAUUUAAUAAAGCACAGUACGAACGACGUAAUUGACAUUUCGCAUUCUAUUUGCGUACGUCGCCCCAACAUUCGACCUGAAUGCACUGUACCCUCGGUUACUACUAAAUUCUAUAAUUCUUCGUUUCUCUUCUCUUACUUUCCAUCUUAUUCUUCUCGUGGACCCAUCUUUUCUGCUUCUCCUCUGUUCGCUUUCCUCCUCUGUUACUAUCCUAUUUCUAACGUGACACGAUAAAUUACAAUAUUACAAUAUUAAUAUAACAUAUUAUAUUAUUAAUAUAACAAUACAAAUAUUAAAGUAAUACAUUGAAGUUUAUACCGUGCAACAUAAGAGCUACAAAAUAUAAAGAACGAUGCAAUAUAAAAUUUUCUGAAAUGCCAGUCGCGUGAAUCUUUAUAUCCAAUUUAAUAUAUUUCAUUUAAUUUCAAUCGAACUAUUUCUAUUUCUUUAUGUUUCAUCAGACCCUUGAACUCAACUGAAUAUUUAAUUCCAAUCGAAUUCAUGAAUCGCCUAUUGAAUUUGAAAAUUCGAUGGAAACCUUACAUCCAAUCGAAAUCUUGAAUCUAACAUCAAGUCUUUGACCCCGCUCACAAUGAGAAUCUGGAGCAUUGGAAACUCUAGAACCCUCAAGACUGUCUUUAAAAUUUCCAAGCUUUAAAUCUUCCCGGAGUGCAAAUACAUUCGAAUACUACCUUUAACGUCUAUUUCCACGUUGUUUUUGGCAAACAGAAAAGCUCGUGUGCUUCACCAUCGAAAACGUUCCCUUCGAAAUAAUUAAAGAUCAGGAUACGAUCAGGAUGAUUCAUGUAUCCUAUUUCGAGAACACUCAUCUAUAUCGAUUCAGUCGAUUCACUCGCGACUUGAUUUCAAUUUCUAUUCUCGGUUAACUGUCCGCCGAUACGAAACUAGUUAAUGGAUGUUCGAAAUCACAUAAAUUCUUCAAUGAUAACCACGACGGUGGUCGGUUUCUCUUAUCCGGAGAUUUACUUCCUUCCCCUGGCCGGACCGGUAAUAGUGGUUCGCGAAAUUUAUUUGCGGAUUCGUGGUGAAACGUUAAUUCGAAAAGGUCGGAAGGGAGCUGGAGGAUCAUUGAACGAGAGGCGGGUGAAAUAAAACGAGCGCACCGAAACGAAACGGCCAAGGGAAAUGAGAAUGACGAAGGAGGAUAGAGAAAGGAAAGAAGGAAGAGCGUAUACUGGCAGAAACAAAGAAUCGCGACGAGAGAAGGAAGAGGAGGAAGGGUGAAAACGAAAAGGACCGACGGGGAUUUCGCUAAUGUCAUUUUUUCAGGCCAAUGGAAAUUCUUUCCUCUUUAGCGUUUUAAUCCACCUGCGUGCCUGUGUAAUUUGAUUCAUUCUUGUUCCGCUUCUUUCUGUGAAGGCUGUUUUGGCUUUGCAGGGAAAUUUGAUGGCUACGGUAACCGCGUAAGGGUGGGGGAGGACGGUAAAACGAAAUUGGACUCGUCGAUGUUAUCAAGAAACAAAAGCUAAAUGAAUCUCGAUACUUUAGCCGUGUUUAAUGUUCUUUUCGUAACGCGUGAUCCGAUAAAAGUAUUUAAUAGCGGUAUAAAAAUUGUAAGGACGUAUCGUUAAAGUUUUAUUUCGAUAUCGAGAAGAUUUCCGGUUCCUUGGGGUAAAGGAAAUUUUGUAAAUAUUUAAUAAUUCAAUUUCAGAGCGCAAUGUUCAAGAUCGAUUACGUUCAUAUUGUAUCGAUAAUGGAUGAAUUUUUUAUUAUUUUAUAUUUCCAAAUUUUUUGUCAGAAUAGAUUAAAUAUUUAACGAUUGUUAUGACAGCGUACAAUUUAUUCGUUUCUAAAGUUUACUACUAAUUUCCAGCUCUAUGUAUCUACGGUGAUGCUUGAUAAAUAUACGCGAAAGAUGUUACGGAGCCUCGUAGAUCUGACAAUUAUACCCCAAAUCGUGGUACAAGGAAUCGUACAGCGGCGGCGAAUUAACGCGAGUGUCUCGGAAGAUAGCUGUUACGAGGGUGGGCGAAAAGACGAACGAUGGAGGUAAACGAAAGAGAGCCGAGGCUCAUUUCCCUUUCGCCACGACCAAUGAGUUUUGAGGGCAAAUCGUCGGAGCGAACGAACCGCGGAACUACCGAAAAGGAUCAAGAAUAUUCACCUCUCGUUUUCCUCUUUAUGAUUUCCAUCUCGUUCCCUUCUUUUCCUUUAUUUCUUUCUUCGUCCAACGAUUCUCCCGCCGCCUUACGUGUUACGUUUCUUCCUCGGCGACAGCCUCCUCUCGUAUUAGUAUCAGCCCUCCGAUUUUCGAGCAGACGAACUUCUGAUUUUAUCGAGGCGGAGAGACGGUCGAUCGAGCGGAAGGAACCGGAGAUUGUCACGCAAAUGAAUUUGAAGUAUUGCCAUUUUACAUUUCCACCUGUCUCCGGCCCCGCGACAAUCCAACCGGCUCGUUCUUUCUGAUUUUCCAUUAUCUUACCUUUCGUUUGCAUCGGUCGUCGCUUGUUCGCCGAUCGACCCACGCCACCAUCUUCUCUCUAUAAAACGAUCACCGUUCACUCUAACAUUUCGUUGUACUCGUCGUCUCCGUCUUGUCUCUACACGUGUCUCUCUCACACCGUCACUUGUUUCUCGUCUUCUUUCUUUUUAUCAGAUGCCCUCUGUCUGCUCUCCACCAACAAGGACGUCCUCUUCUUAUCCAUUUCUCUUUCGCGCGCCUCUAUGCAGCCCGUUUCUAUCCCUCCACGAGUUCUCACGAUCGUUUCUCGUCGCUCGUUUUCCCCUUUACACAGGUACGCCUCCAGACCAUUUCCCCUCCCCAUCCGCCCAAACCUCUGGUUGCACCCUCGCGUCGCGUCGUGCUGCCGAGUGUCCGCGAUCGAUGCACCUGGCUGCAUUUGCAAGUUCAGCGACUGAACGGAAUCGGCCGAGACGACAAAUCGAACGGAAUCGGAAAUCACAAUAAGACCGACGAAAGCAACGCGAUUCUUUCCUAGCAGACGGUAGCGAGGGAUGGCGAUAGACCAUUUUGUUUCGCUGCCUUAUCGAAGUGACAGGGAAUUCGGUUUAUCAGCGCGGCCAUUCCAACAGCAGGAGGCGAUCGCGUUAAACUGUGCCCUCUCUCUUUGCUUUUCAAAGAGUAUCAAUGACGUUGAAUUCAAAGCGAAAGCGCGUCGAAUGCUUUUGUAUCUCGUGGAAUGGAUAACAUUGUCAUAAUAUCGUUUCUUUAAUUAGCGAUUGUAAUUACAGCUGUGAUCGAAGUACUAUCAGUUGUACGUUUCAACUGCUUUACUAUAACAAGUAGUCUAUCUUUUAUUCAGAUAUCUUGAAGAUCUGAAAGCUUGCCAAAUAUGCGCUACAAUCGUUUUGAUCAUUUAAAUAAUUCAAUUACGAUAGUCAUUAGUCCUUGUUCUUUCGCUAAAACGAAAAAUUCUAAUCAACGGCAAUCCUUUAUUCUGAAAGAAAAAUGUCGGUUCUAAAAGUUAAAUGAUCAAAACUAUUAUAAAACAAUAAUACGAUAAUUAUAUAAUAAUAUAGCAAUAAAUAAUAAUAAUAGUCAGUGUCGAAACAUACAAACGGGUGGGAAUAUAAAUAAUGAAUGAAAAUCACAUCGCGAUUUAGAAAAUUAAAAAAUAACAUUAAACGUCAAAAUCUGUCCAAUUCUCAAAUUUCCAAAGCAAUUAUGACAAGGAAGGUUCUCCUUGACCAUCGAUCGUACUUCAUAAUAAAGGAAACAAGAAUGAGUAGGUCCAAGAGUUCUUCAGAAAUCAAUUUAUAAGCAGUUACCUCCGUGGAGGUCGCGUCGGCCUUGCCUCUGCCUUGAAAUAACUCGAUUCGUUCCAGACUUGCGUAUUAAAAGUUCUUCCAUUUCUACAGGGUACAAUAAUAUUAUCAGUCAGUCAGUUAAGUCACCUUGCCAUCCGCGUAGAAAAUUCCCAUUAAAAGAUUUCAAAGGAUAAGAACAUAAAAGCGAUCCUCCUACCUCGGAGAAUACAAUUGAAAGGAGGAUGAUCGUUAAAUUAUUGUAAAAGAUAUUUUUGUUCGGUCUUCGACGUCGCGAUCGCUGUACCUUUUGACCUGUUUAUCUAUAGACAUUGUCUAAGGACAAGGCAUAAGAUGGAUCUAGUAUACAUUGUAAAUUUGUGUCAAACAGUUUGAACACUAUAUUCGUUUUUCACACGUCGCUUUAAUCUAACAAUCAGAUCUUAUGUCCUGUUUGAGGCAAGAGCUUCUCAGAACAAUCAGGGAACAGGAAGUUUUAUUAAAGGCCAAUUAAUUUCCUUUUAGUUCUUGCAAACGUAACUACGAUACAUCUUAUUUUUAAUAGAAGGAAUAUUAAGGAAUCUUCAAAGUUAGAAGGAACCCAAUCUUAGUCGACGACGUGAAUGAUGACGGUUUCAAAAUAACAUCUAGAAUUACAUCUGUAAAUUUAAUGAAAGAAAUUUGAAGCUUCGAAAAGACCAACUCUCGCGACGUUCGUUACACACCAAAUACGAAAGAAAUAUUUGAGGUCGAUUCGUAUUCGAUCGGAAACAUCUUCUCUGUUUGACUUGUAGAGAAAAUUUACAAAUUGAAAAUUCAAGUCAGCCUUCUUAUUUCGUAACGAUAUAUAUGUAUAUAUGUAUACGUAACCUAUACUGAAAGCUCUUGUAUCCGCAGGCAAAUUCUUGCUUCGACGUUGUUGCGCUCUGUCGCAACAACGGAAGGGUAAUUUCACGGAACCAAUGGCGCCCGUACAAUAUCAAUUCCGACACCCUACAUAAAUAUUAUAUUCCCCGAUAAUACUAGCCGCUAUAAAACUCUGCAUUAAUCACCGAACAAGAAAUACCACCCUCUAGCCGGCGUAGACACAAAACGACCACUUAUCCCUGCCGGGCUUUCUCCGUUUCAAAGCCUGCGGCUAUUUCGCAACCUCGUAAAUCGCGACGAGAGAGACAAGCAUACGGAAAGAGAAGGAGAAAAACUGGUACUACACGACGCUUGGCAAGAGACAGACAACGUAGAACAGAUAGAAGACAAGUCAAAGAUGGGGGAGAAGGUUGAUAAAACGGUGAAACGAUUGAUAGAAGUUGGAAGAAAGAAGAAUACGUGCAUCGCCGGUCCCGCAGACAUGGCAUAGCAUAGCGUUAACUUGAUCCCUGGAGAAAAUGGAGAUUCGUAGGAAGUGGAAGAACGAACCGGUGGAGGUGCGUUGUAAGGGCGAAGAGAGAAGGAUGAAGGAAGAAACUAUCCCCUGGACCGCUGUUUCAAAAUGUUCCCCACGAUGAAAUAAAUUGGCGCCGGCAUGUUUACACGUUGGAGGCAUACUAGGUAAAAAUUCGUGGAGUGUAGCAAAGCGGAACAGAAAAGGUGGAUGGUGAACCGGAAAAAAAGGGUUAGGAGCCGGCGGAUGUCGAGCAGCGACGGCAACCGGGUUCCGAACCGGGCUAAGUUGUGUUUAAUUAAUGACCGGACUAAUUAAAAGCCCAAAGAAAAAUACAGCCACGCGCCGGCCAACCGACCCCUAACGCUGUCGACGUAAGAGGUCUCUAAAACACUCGUUCCAGGCUCAUUCAUAAAGGCAAAUCGUAGGUGGUAAUUGAAAGAAAUGAUAAAACGCGUAUUGCCUCCUGACUAAUAACUUUUUCAUUUGCCAUCUUCCUACGUUCGUUCUUUGUACCUUCAGAUAGAAGAUAAUUGGUUUUUGAUCAUAAUUAACUUUUAAACGAAUAUGGAUGCGAAUGUGAAUGCGAAUAAUUCUCUUCGAUAAUUGGAUUUCUAAUAAAAAAUGGUACAUGUUAAAAGUGUGAAGCAUCUUUCGAGGAAAAUAUCUCUGGUCCAGUGUAAAAGAAUGAAACAACAAAUAUUAAAGUUUCAAAGGGAAAUGGCAACAGAAGUAAUAUUCUGUGUCUCUCUAGAUAAAAGUUGCUUUCCAUUUGUUGAUCUUUCUUCAAUAAUGUACCGAAAGAUUGUGAGACCAAGAAAACCCAGAAGAGAAUCCCUUACAGCUUCCUUCAAGCUGUCUUUACAUACAUAAAAGAACUUUCUUCUUUGUUUUCGCCUUUACGCCAGAUCUUUUAACAAAACGGCUGAUUAUAUUUCGCGCUUUUUUCUUAUUUACGCCGCUAUACAGACACGUCACAUGAUAAACAUAUUUAACUACAUGUUUACAGCCAGAAACAUUAAAACAAAUUAUAACAAUCGUUCGUUGUUUCGAUAAAAAAAUAUCCCGUCGUGUGUAUUGUUAAAUUUAAAGGAAACACUUGUCACUGUAAUUUUUGUAGUGCGCUCAACACGUGUCCGAACAUAUUUCUGGUUACAUGAUAGGUGGAGCUCACAAAACUGCCGAUCCUGUGAGAAAUACCUUCUGUUACUGUGCUGAAAGUCUGUGAAAUAAAUCGUUCGCCUUUAUAAGAAACCCUUCGACAUCGAGGAAAACCUUCGCUAUUAAUCUACGAUCUCAACAUCUAAAGUACCAAUCGACUACGUGUCACCGUUUUUAUUACAUAAUAAAUUACCGAGGCAUAAUCCGUCACACUUACUUCCUUUCGACAGCGGAAGAAGGAUUCCACGGGGCGGUUACCCUAAAAACAUUGAGCACGUCGAAGAUCGAUCAGAUUGCCAACAAACCAAAGAAUAUCUUCAUUUCGUUUUGCAUAUUGACCGGUAUUCUUAUUACACCCUCUAUAGGGUGUACAUAUAUAAAUAGAAGAUACAAGCAUGAUAUCAAAAUUCUUUCAGGCUAUUCAAAUAUCUAUUUUGAAUCAUUUAAAGGAGAGAAAUCAACGUUGGAAUUUAGCCUGAACAUGGAAGUUAAUUGUUCGCAGUCUUUUAUUUCAAAAUCCAAACUCCACCAAUCGCUUGAUCCCUUCCCCUCCUAGAUAAAUGUGUGAGACUAUUAUAUAAUAAUGUCAAUCGUUCUUCAAAUAUUGAAAUAUCUCGCUCGCGUAAACUAUGGAUCCAAGCAAACGUUGACCCACUACGCGCGCGUUUGUUGCGAUUUAAAUAUCUGUAUGUGUUCACGCUUAUCAAUUCCAAAUGAAAAUUUCUCGCUGCCACGCACGCGAUCAAACAUUGAAACAUAUAUAUAUAUAUAUAUAUAUAUAUAUAUAAAUACAUAUA